GACGAACGCUGGCGGCGUGCCUAACACAUGCAAGUCGAGCGAAGUGAGUACUACGGUACGAACUUAGCGGCGGACGGGUGAGUAGCGCGUGGACAAUCUACCCUGUAGACUGGGAUAACACCUCGAAAGGGGUGCUAAUACCGGAUAAUGUCGAGAAGCGGCAUCGCUUUUCGAAGAAAGGAGAGAAUCCGCUAUAGGAGGAGUGCGCGUCCCAUUAGCUAGUUGGUGAGGGUAACGGCCCACCAAGGCGACGAUUGGUAGCCGGCCUGAGAGGGUGAACGGCCACACUGGAACUGAGACACGGUCCAGACUCCUACGGGGGGCAGCAGUGGGGAAUAUUGUGCAAUGGGGGAAACCCUGACACAGCAACGCCGCGUGAGCGAAGAAGGCCUUCGGGUUGUAAAGCUCAAUAGUAUGGGAAGAUAAUGACGGUACCAUACGAAAGCCCCGGCUAACUACGUGCCAGCCGCCGCAGUAACAC
rnacentral:rRNA from 1 species